GAAUGUGGGCAAUUCUAGAAAGUCUUAUAAUAUGAAACGGAGGAAGUAGUAAAUUUCACAUGUCUCAGCUGCAACAAGAAUGCAAUAAUAUUUAAAGUUUUUAGUUAUGCUUUUUCAUUGAUCUUGAGCUAUUCUUUGUAUGCGAUAGACAUCAUCGGUUUUUCCCUAUUUAUUAUCCUCUUUGUGUGGGUCUUUGUAUAUCGUCUUGUCAUUCUGGAGGUGAAAAUGGGCUGGUAGUGUAAGUUGCAGCCUUGCAGGUAAAACAUUACUUAUAUGAUAUUGUUUCCCCUGCUUCCGUAUUUUAUUGUGAAAAUUGCACAUAACCUGUAUAUGAUAUUCUUGUUUCUUCUGUUCUAAUCCGCAGUUUCUUUUUCAUAUCUUUAUCCAUGAAUCUUAAAAGUUGAUGGUGUUCUCAAUCAAUUUUUUCAGGUAUGUUCAAUCAUUUUGAAACAGAGCUACAUAUCUAAUGCCAUUAAUAUUUUUCGGUACUUGUUGUAUGGUUAAUGGCAUUCAAUUAAGAAAAUAACCUAGAAGAACUUGAUGAAUUACAAGCAAAUUACUGAGUGGUUAAUGGUUAUAUCCAAUAUUAGUUCUUAGUCAAGUUUUUUAAGGCCCUGUUUGGAAGACAUGAAUUUACAUGUCUACAGGAAGUUCCCAUGCCCCAACUCCCAGAUGGGGCCUAAAUGUCACAUACAGAUGUCAGGGUUUUUCUUGCCUUGAUUUGCCCUGAACUGAUCAACUAAAUCUGACUGUUGAUCUAGCUUUUUGAUGUGCCAUUUAAUUGAAUGUUGGAAUGUUGCACACUUGCACCUUGUAUAUACAGCAUCAUAUUUGUGUAGAGGAGUAUCGUUUAUUACCACUACAUAGUAGUUGUGUGGUCAAUGGUCUAAAGAAAUUGUGAUUGUAUAAAAUCAACUAAAAAACAUAAAAAAGAAUUUGAUUAGUUGCAACCAAGUUAUUCAGUGUUCAAUGGAAUAUUAGAGUUUAAUCCAUGACAUACCUUUUGAUUGUACUUAACUGAGCUACUUGUUCUGGUUACCAAUGUAGUGUCUGGAGGUGACAAAGAAUAUUCUAUGAAGGACCACAAGUCACAUGCCUAUGAUGUACAUCAUACCAUACCAUAACCUUCAUAAUAUGGUAUAAACCUUUACAUUAUUUAACAUCCAAGGGAAGUUGAAAUGAGACAUUGCUCCUUCUAUACAGCUAUCAUUAAGACAUCUGCACUAUAGAGCAUGCAAUGUAUUAGGACAUUCAAAUGCUUUUGUGAUAUUUGAGAUGUGCAAAUACUCUGUUUCUCGAAUUACAGGCCUUCUCAAGCAUCUGACAGCCAAUUGAAUAUUUGGACAAAGAGUACCCCUGUAUGAGGACCCUCUCAUAUCUCAGAAUUUUAUUUAGUGUGUUCUUGGAUAUCAGGAAUCAGAAGCUUAGGAUGAUCGGGAAGGCAACCUGAUUAUAGCUGCAGAUAAAGGUAUUGCCCUUGGCUACAGCAAGAAUAAAGGAGCCAGUCAAUCUGGUAAACAGGUAAGUUUAGUUUUGAAAUGGGGAAUCAAAUUUGGUUUCAUUGUUCUGGAACACUGUAGUAUUAAUUACAGAUUCAACUUGAUGCUGAUAAAAAGUUACAAAAUUAGCAGUUUAGCACUAACAGCAAUUAUACACUAAGAGACUAACUAAAGGGGUGGAAACCUAAUAUUACUAUGAGCAUUGACUCGAAAGCGCCUGGCUCUAUUCGAUGGCCAUGCCGCCAUUUUUGUUACUCUUGUUCUCGCCUCCUCCUGACGUGCCCUAGCAUUCUGAUGGAGCAGCAAAGUAUUUAUCUUUAGGCAUGCUUGUUAGUGCUACACAUUACAGUAGUGUUAUUUUUAGAAGAAAUGAACUUCCCUUCCUUCCUUAUGGUACUAACUGAAAUGCAAAAUAUUUUCUGGUGUUUCUUGACAUCGUGAUUACACUUGUAGUGUAGAUCGAUUUUUUUUCUUCAAAUAUGAAUCCUCUGUCUAAUGUUAGCUGUGAAAUCCCUAGUGAUGAUUGGCCUC